rnacentral:lncRNA from 1 species
AAGGCAGAAAGCAGGAACGCAGCAGCGAGGAGAGCUACAGGUCCGUAUCCCUACACUUGGCCGUGCCUUUUGUAUCCAAAACUAAGCAGGCUGUGAUUUUGAAAACUUGAUGUUCCCUGACCUCAAUCAGAAGUCCCCAGUGGCCUUGCAGUAUAGCCUCCACAGUCUGCCAGUGGUCCCAUGCUUUGAGGCCACACUAACUAGUUCUAGCUUCGUUUUCAGAACGUGCUCCUUGCUGCUCCUCAAGCAAACUCUGCCUUUUUCACACCCGAGCCUUUCCCUAGAACACUCUGCAAACGUCUCCUCUCUUAUCCAGUCUUGCCAUCCCUGACCAUUUCAAUGUGGGGUGGCCUGUCUUUUUCUCAAUGGUUUAAUAUUGUGCUUCCCUCAGAACGAGCGAAUGUGGGCUUCAGACUUAGACAGAGCCACUUAAAAUCCCGAGACCUUCAGCCGCCGUCUUCUUCUUCUUCUUCUUCUUCUUCUUCUUCUUCUUCUUCUUCUUCUUCUUCUUCUUCUUCUUCUUCUUCCUCUUCCUCUUCCUCUUCCUCUUCCUCUUCCUCUUCCUCUUCCUCUUCCUCUUCCUCUUCUUCUUUAAUCUAAGAAAGAAAAUGGAUGAGAAUAAUGCUCUCAGGGGAGUCUGGCUAUCAGCAUUGUAUGAGAUCACACGUUGGCGCACUUAGAUGAUCAAUAUGCAUCUUCCUUGCCUUUACCACUCAAACAGUGCUGCUUGCUUUGUGGGUUUCUAGACCACAACUUACUGACUCUGAAAGCCCAGGGUCCAUGAAAGCAGGGGUUUUUUCUCAAGCUUAUAUGAAUAUUCUCCAAUGCUGAGGAGGGACUUGCAAGAACACAGUCCUCCAUAAAUAUUUUUGAUGGUUGAAUAAAUAAUUUUCUGAUCCUCUGCGAGAUAGAAGAUGGUGGGAUGAAGGGAUAGGAAGGAGAUUGGAGCCUGUCUAUUACAAUAUAUUGCCUAAGCAAGAUGUUCUCACUAUUAGCAUGACAGACAGUUGUGGAAAGAAACAUUAAACAAUGUUGUGCUUCCUGAGAACGAACACGAGGAUUUUAACUUUGAGAAGCAUCGCUGGGCUUACGUUUCCUGCAACAGCCAAAAGGUACCCAGGAUCACAUAAAAAUUAAUUCAUUGACAUCCGAUGUUCUGACCGCUCCAAAUGUAAAGCACACAAAAGGCUCUUGUGGCUCUCUUUUGUAAAACUUCCCUUUAAUAAACUGCCCACUGCCGUGUAAUCCAGAUGGCUGUUGGUACAUCAAUGUAAAAGAGUGCUUUAAAUCCCAUGAAAAUAGGGAGGGAGCACACAAAAGCCAUGCUUUCCAGACAUCCAGGCAGAGAUAGCUCCCCUUUCACAAGAGGGACAAAAAUUUCUUUUGAGAUUCUGUAAAUAGAAAGGUUAGUGCCUCAUUAUGAAGAGGAACUGUUUGACAAAGAGUUACAGCUAGAGAAUAUCUAUUCUUUAGGAGAAGAUAUCCCUGGCCUCUCUUGGGAGAAAGGAAAAAAAAAAAAACCUAGAUGUCAUGCUUUUGAAUAUUUACUGCCAAAGCUGUUUUUAAGAACAUUCUUCAUAUCAGGGGACCCAAGAGUUGCCACAGUGUUCUGUAAGGAUGAGUCAUGGUGGUGUUUAAAAUUUCCUAAAAACAAGCAGGUCAAUUAAGCCUGCUGACAGAUGACCUUGAAAACUAGCUGUGAAGUAGGAUCGAUUGUUCUUGCCCUCUAGAAAGACAGUUUUGACGGUUGAGAAAUAGUGUCCAGAUCUUGAAGUCUUGGGCUUCUUCACUUUGGGGGAAUUUGUAAUGUGGAAAGGGGACUUAUCUUUACUUGGCUCUUCAAGAGUUUAGUGGGAUAAUAGGAUUGCCUAGAUAAACAAUUUCUAAUCAUGUAAACUGGAAGAUGGAGGCCAAGGAGAGGGCUCAGUGAGUGACUGUCCCUUGAGGUUGGUUACCUAUGAUCCAUGUAAAGGUGAAGACAGAACCUGACUCCACCUAGCUGUCUGGCCACCGCACACACUAUGUCAUACACAUGUCUCCUGUGUGCAAUAAAAUUAAUAAUAUAACCAUAAAAAUAAUUUUAAAAAAUCAAGGAUAAGAAGACUGGAGAGAUGGCUCAGCAGUUAAAAGCAACCGUAGAAAGGUUGUUCUUCCAGAGGACCUGGGUUCAAUUCCCAGCACCCACGUGGCAGCUCACAGCUGUCUGUAACUCCCGUUGUAGGGGAUCUGAUGCCCUCACACAGAUGUGCAUGCAGGUAAAACACCAAUGAUCAUAAAAAUAAUUUAUUAAAGAAGGAUGUAUUAAAUUUUUUAAAAGAUAAAUAAAUUUGUGAUAGAGAAAUAAAUCUAAAGCUUGAUUUAACAAAAGCCUCACAGUUUCAUAGAACAAUGAGCUUUUUCCAGCUGAACUUUUGUUGUCAUAUAUAAUAUUGAUAGAAAAUAUAAAUCAGCACAGAAACACUUAAUGUACAUGCAUAUUUACCUCAUAAUUAUUUCUCCUGCUAAUACUCUGCUGAUUAAUAACAAUGGCCUAAAUUAAACAGUACUACAUUUUAUUAGCACCUUUACAUCUUUCUAAGUCUAUAUUAUCUUUUAAGGCUUCAUAAAGCAAUUUCAAAGGAAAAUCAGUUUUAUAAUAAUAUCCUAUUACAAACAGUGGCUAAUCAAUGCCAUAUGAUUCCUUUCAAAUCGAUUACUCUCAUACAAAGAGAGAAAUUUGAAGGCAAAAAUGUAAUUAGUUAAUUUAUUCUAGUCCCUAUCCUCAUCAAGAUGCAAACCAUUUAACAAGAACCAAGUGACAGCCAGUAAUGUUCUUGUAAUCUUCCUCAUCGAAUAUGAAUACUAAUGUAGACGUAUUUUCCAGUUCCCUUCUUACCCAAGUCUGACUGCAAAACCUAAAUGAAGACGAAUAUCUUACAAUUAUUUCUUGUCUCCUUGGAAGAAGGCUGCUGCUGACAGGGAUGCUGACGUGGGUAUAUUCCAUAGCAGGAGAUGUUUCUGAGUCUUUGCUUUGUAGUGUGCAAAGUGUAAACGGAUAGAGCUGAAACGUAGACUGUAGCAAGCUGGGAUUCACGUUGGCAUGCAUCUUCUUCACGUUUCUCUUCAGUCAUAUAACUGUCAUGUCGAGCCAUAUUGUUCCCCUAAUCAAUACAAUUGUAGGGAGAAAGUUUUUCAAAAUAUGUUACAGAAUAUAUUAGUCUUUGUUUCACACUAAUCAUCUUAUAUCCACACCUUUGCCUGGAAGUCACCUCUUAACACCCCUCUCCCCGCACUCCCUAAUUGCUCGUCCAUGGUACAGGAAGAGACUAACCUCAGGACAAAUAAGAGGAAGCUAUACCACUACUACCGAAGUUAAUCAAGAUGCCAUGUAAGGUUUACAGUGGGCUUUCCAGGAUUGGGUGGGAUUAUGAAAAUGUGCUCUGCACUUCCCUCCUCAGUCGAGAUCAAAGUAUUUUGGAACACAUUUGUCCGCUUACACUGGGAGGAAAAAAAAAUGUUUGCUUUUAAUCUUUGUGUGGCUUUAGGUGCCUACACUUUGCUAUUGUAAUGAUCCAUCAAAGGGAAGACUGCUUAGGGUUAUCAAACCCAAUUACUGUUAAUGGAGGAGGAAGGCAGUAAGCCUUCAAUGCCAUGAGCAUGGGCUUCGGGCUUACAAGAUACCCUGCUUCAAAAACACAUAC